GAGGGGAGGGGGUCGGCGGUGUGAUGGUAUUGUAGUUGGCGGGAUUGCUGGGUUUGGCCCUUGGCCCGUCGCGGAAAGGCCACCAAUAUCGGCUGAGGUUGUGCCGGUUGUAAUGGCAGAGGUAACGGCUGCUGAGGCUGAGUUCGCGUAGUCUAAUGUGUGCCCGUGCAUACUUUCGUAGGUGGUCUGGUUGCGGGAUAUCUGGACAAGUUGGACGACACACAGCAUGCUCACCCAUAUAAGCUGGAUACUGAUCCAUAUCGUGAGGAUGAUGGUGAAAGUAUCUCGACUGAGGAUAUCGCAAAGAACUGAGGAGAGGAUGUUGCAUUCAGCAUCGGAACGUGCGGGAAUUAAAUCGAUAUCUGUGACUUCGUGAAAAAUAAUGCCAAUUUCCAUGCUAAAGAUAUACAAAAUAAAGUGGCGCAAGUUAUUUGCGCCAACGCAAUUAUCGAUCCAUGGGCAAUGGCUAUUUUGUCACGCCCCAGCAGACACACAACGCUUACAACGUCUGCAAUGCUUGCUGCGUAACGGCUUCCUAAUCAUGCAAUAUACACAAAAGUUGUCUUCGUCAAAUUUCCAGACAUCAAAGAGUUGUGUUAUCGUAUCCCUCUGUUGAUUUCUGCUUCCUAGCUUAGGGACAAACCCGGGAUCUUCGAGCAUUGCGAGACCAUAGAAAUAUGUAGUCAAGCCAAAAAAUAUUAUGAAGAAAAAAUUUAAAAACGGG
rnacentral:sRNA from 1 species